rnacentral:rRNA from 1 species
CCUACGGGAGGCUGCAGUGAGGAAUAUUGGUCAAUGGGCGCUAGCCUGAACCAGCCAAGUAGCGUGAAGGAUGACUGCCCUAUGGGUUGUAAACUUCUUUUAUAUGGGAAUAAAGUGCAGUAUGUAUACUGCUUUGCAUGUACCUUAUGAAUAAGGAUCGGCUAACUCCGUGCCAGCAGCCGCGGUAAUACGGAGGAUCCGAGCGUUAUCCGGAUUUAUUGGGUGUAAAGGGAGCGUAGGCGGGUUGUUAAGUCAGUUGUGAAAGUUUGCGGCUCAACCGUAGAAUUGCAGUUGAUACUGGCAGCCUUGAGUGCAGUAGAGGUAGGCGGAAUUCGUGGUGUAGCGGUGAAAUGCUUAGAUAUCACGAAGAACCCCGAUUGCGAAGGCAGCCUGCUGGACUGUAACUGACGCUGAUGCUCGAAAGUGUGGGUAUCAAACAGGAUUAGAUACCCGAGUAGUC